rnacentral:rRNA from 1 species
UCCCUACGGGGGGCAGCAGUAGGGAAUUUUCGGCAAUGGGGGGAACCCUGAUGCAGCAACGCCGCGUGAAGGAAGACGGUUUUCGGAUUGUAAACUUCUGUUCUUAGUGAAGAAAAAUGACGGUAGCUAAGGAGCAAACCACGGCUAACUACGUGCCAGCAGCCGCGGUAAUACGUAGGUGGCAAGCGUUGUCCGGAAUUACUGGGUGUAAAGGGAGCGCGGGCGGGAAGCCAAGUCAGCUGUGAAAACUACGGGCUUAACUUGUAGACUGCAGUUGAAACUGGUUUUCUUGAGUGAAGUAGAGG